AAGUAUUUGAAUAAUUUUAAAUUCUGUGAAGGAAAACUAAAAUUGGAUAAUAUUUAUUUUGCCCUUUUAAUAAAAAUUGUGGUAUUUUUAUUACUCAAACAUUAGAAUUUAUUCCAGCUAAUUUUAGUCUUUGCUUUCUAGAAUUAGUAAAUGUUCUUUUUCCCUUCUUGAUAGUUCCUUUAUACCUCACAUAACCUUUCACUUAAUGGCCGAUUAUGGAAACACCUUAGUUCAAUUAUAAAAGUGUUAGGGAUAAAAUAUAUCAUUAAAGUGGAAUUAGGGAACAUAGGUACCAUAAUUCAUUUCCUCAGAUCCUUAUUUGAAUAGUAUUUCACAUCCAAAUAUGCAAAGAUUUGAAAUUUUCUUAUUUCAGAUUGCUACAAAGGACCCUUUAAACCCUAUUAAACAAGAUGUGAAAAAAGGAAAACUUCGCUAUGUUGCGAAUUUGUUCCCGUAUAAAGGAUAUAUCUGGAACUAUGGUGCCAUCCCUCAGGUAUGUCUUCAUGCAACUGCUGACAAUGUACUUUUUAGCUUACU
rnacentral:lncRNA from 1 species